rnacentral:rRNA from 1 species
CACUCCUGCGGGAGGCAGCAGUGGGGAAUUUUGGACAAUGGGCGAAAGCCUGAUCCAGCAAUGCCGCGUGAGUGAAGAAGGCCUUCGGGUUGUAAAGCUCUUUUGUCAGGGAAGAAACGGUGAGAGCUAAUAUCUCUUGCUAAUGACGGUACCUGAAGAAUAAGCACCGGCUAACUACGUGCCAGCAGCCGCGGUAAUACGUAGGGUGCAAGCGUUAAUCGGAAUUACUGGGCGUAAAGCGUGCGCAGGCGGUUUUGUAAGUCUGAUGUGAAAUCCCCGGGCUCAACCUGGGAAUUGCAUUGGAGACUGUAAGGCUAGAAUCUGGCAGAGGGGGGUAGAAUUCCACGUGUAGCAGUGAAAUGCGUAGAUAUGUGGAGGAACACCGAUGGCGAAGGCAGCCCCCUGGGUCAAGAUUGACGCUCAUGCACGAAAGCGUGGGGAGCAAACAGGAUUAGAUACCCGGGUAGUCCC